rnacentral:rRNA from 1 species
GUGCACCAGGCGAGAAUUUUUCUCAAUGGGGGCAACCCUGAAGGAGCGACGCCGCGUGGAGGAUGAAGGCUUUCGGGUUGUAAACUCCUGUCAUUUGAGAACAAGUGUAGCCAAGUAACUACUGGCUACUUGAUAGUAUCAGAAGAGGAAGGGACGGCUAACUCUGUGCCAGCAGCCGCGGUAAUACAGAGGUCCCAAGCGUUGUUCGGAUUCAUUGGGCGUAAAGGGUGCGUAGGUGGCGCCGUAAGUGGGGUGUGAAAUUUCGGAGCUUAACUCCGAAACUGCAUUCCAUACUGCGGUGCUUGAGGACUGGAGAGGAGACUGGAAUUCAUGGUGUAGCAGUGAAAUGCGUAGAGAUCAUGAGGAAGACCAGUGGCGAAGGCGGGUCUCUGGACAGUUCCUGACACUGAGGCACGAAGGCUAGGGGAGCGAACGGGAUUAGAUACCCGUGUAGU